UGGGCAACCUGCCCUCAGCUCUGGGAUAACUCCGGGAAACCGGGGCUAAUACCGGAUACGACCUCUACCGGCAUCGGUGGUGGUGGAAAGUUCUUCGGCUGAGGAUGGGCCCGCGGCCUAUCAGCUUGUUGGUGGGGUGAAGGCCUACCAAGGCGACGACGGGUAGCCGGCCUGAGAGGGCGACCGGCCACACUGGGACUGAGACACGGCCCAGACUCCUACGGGAGGCA
rnacentral:rRNA from 1 species